rnacentral:lncRNA from 1 species
UUGUGCGAUUUUAUGGAAAAUGGGUUUAAAUGGUAAAUUGCUAUGUUUUAAGAGAAAUUGUAAUUUUAUAAAAUGAUUUUAUAAAUUUUCUGGAAAAUCGAAUAUUGGUUUUGAAAAUAGAGUAAUUGGAGAUUGCUAGUUUGUGUUGCAAAUUUAUGGUUUUAAAUUGAAUGGCUUAUGACAAUAAAUGAGCAUGAAUGGCUAAACUGAUUUUGGUGUUAGAAUUAUUUAUACUGUGUAUUCAGCCUUGAGAGACUAGGUUGCGAUAAAUUGCCAUGUCAUGCUAGAAUGAAUUUUAUUGAUUGGUGGAUUAUAUAUUAAUUAUUUACUGCAAAGGGGGUUCCGUGGACCAGCCUAUUAGAGGGGCACGGUAAACUCCAUUAUAUUAUUACCUCGAACGGAGAGGCGCGUAAGGUAUCUCCUGGGGUAAAGCUUAGGGUUCACUUCAUGCCAAACCACCACGUGAAGGGGAACUCAGCCAACGCCAAGGAACGGUUGUAUUUUUCUUAAACUAAAAUAUAUUUUAAGUGUAUAGAAAAUUUUAACAGCCUUGGCGGAC